rnacentral:rRNA from 1 species
CUACCCAUGAGCAGGAUGAAGCGAAAGUAAAAUUUCGUGGAGGUCCGAACCCACGAGCGUUGAAAAGCUCGGGGAUGACUUGUGGGUAGCGGUGAAAUUCCAAUCGAGCCCGGAGAUAGCUGGUUCUCCCCGAAAUAGCUUUAGGGCUAGCCUCAAGGUGAGAGAUACGGAGGUAGAGCACUGAAUGUCCUAGGGGGUAUUGCACCUACCGAAGACUAUCAAACUCCGAAUGCCGUCAUCUUAUACUUGGGAGUCAGACUGUGGGUGAUAAGAUUCAUAGUCGAAAGGGCAACAGCCCAGAUCGUCAGCUAAGGUCCCUAAAUGUAAGUUAAGUGGUAAAGGAUGUGGGAUUGCACAGACAACCAGGAUGUUGGCUUAGAAGCAGCCACUCAUUCAAAGAGUGCGUAAUAGCUCACUGGUCGAGUGAUCCUGCGCCGAAGAUUUCCGGGGCUAAAACUUACUACCGAAGCUACGGCAUCAGUAAUGAUGGGUAGGGGAGCUUCCCAUACGGGUUGAAGCAUGACCGUAAGGACAUGUGGACAGUAUGGGAGUGAGAAUGUUGGCAUGAGUAGCGAGAUGUGGGUGAGAAUCCCACAGGCCGUAAACCCAAGGUUUCCAGGGGAAGGUUCGUCCGCCCUGGGUUAGUCGGGACCUAAGCUGAGGCCGAAAGGCGUAGGUGAUGGACAACAGGUUGAU